rnacentral:rRNA from 1 species
UCCAGACUCCUACGGGAGGCAGCAGUGGGGAAUAUUGCACAAUGGGGGAAACCCUGAUGCAGCGACGCCGCGUGAGCGAAGAAGUAUUUCGGUAUGUAAAGCUCUAUCAGCAGGGAAGAAAAAAAUGACGGUACCUGAGUAAGAAGCACCGGCUAAAUACGUGCCAGCAGCCGCGGUAAUACGUAUGGUGCAAGCGUUAUCCGGAUUUACUGGGUGUAAAGGGAGCGUAGGCGGCGCGUUAAGUCUGAUGUGAAAACCCGAGGCUCAACCACGGGAGUGCAUUGGAAACUGGCGGGCUGGAGUGCCGGAGAGGUAAGCGGAAUUCCUAGUGUAGCGGUGAAAUGCGUAGAUAUUAGGAGGAACACCAGUGGCGAAGGCGGCUUACUGGACGGCAACUGACGCUGAGGCUCGAAAGCGUGGGGAGCAAACAGGAUUAGAUACCCUAGUA